rnacentral:rRNA from 1 species
GUAUAAGAGACAGCAGCCGCCGCGGUAAUACGGAGGGGGCUAGCGUUGUUCGGAAUUACUGGGCGUAAAGCGCACGUAGGCGGCUUUGUAAGUUAGAGGUGAAAGCCCGGAGCUCAACUCCGGAAUUGCCUUUAAGACUGCAGAGCUAGCAGGUGAGAGAGGUGAGUGGAAUUCCGAGUGUAGAGGUGAAAUUCGUAGAUAUUCGGAAGAACACCAGUGGCGAAGGCGGCUCACUGGCUCAUACUGGACGCUGAGGUGCGAAAGCGUGGGGAGCAAACAGGAUUAGAUACCCCAGUAGUCCCUGUCUCUUAACA